rnacentral:rRNA from 1 species
UACGUAGGCAGCGAGCGUUGUUCGGAGUUACUGGGCGUAAAGAGUGCGUAGGCGGUUUUCUAAGUUUGGUGUGAAAUCUCCCGGCUUAACUGGGAGGGUGCGCCGAAGACUGGAAGGCUUGAGUAUGGGAGAGGUAAGCGGAAUUCCACGUGUAGCGGUGAAAUGCGUAGAUAUGUGGAGGAACACCUGUGGCGAAGGCGCCUUGCUGGCAAAUUUCUGACGCUGAGGCGCGAAAGCGUGGGGAGCAAACAGG